rnacentral:rRNA from 1 species
AUUGAACGCUGGCGGCAGGCCUAACACAUGCAAGUCGAGCGGAGCGGCGGACGGGUGAGUAAUGUAUGGGGAUCUGCCCGAUAGAGGGGGAUAACGUCCGGAAACGGGCGCUAAUACCGCAUACUAUCAGAUGAGCCUAGGUCGGAUUAGCUAGUUGGUGGGGUAAAGGCCUACCAAGGCGACGAUCCGUAACUGGUCUGAGAGGAUGAUCAGUCACACUGGAACUGAGACACGGUCCAGACUCCUACGGGAGGCAGCAGUGGGGAAUAUUGGACAAUGGGCGAAAGCCUGAUCCAGCCAUGCCGCGUGUGUGAAGAAGGUCUUCGGAUUGUAAAGCACUUUAAGUUGGGAGGCGUUACCAACAGAAUAAGCACCGGCUAACUUCGUGCCAGCAGCCGCGGUAAUAC